AAAAAUAAAACUGCAGAAAUUGUUGUUUGAUUGGAUGCAUGGCUUUUGACAUCAAGCAUGAAAGCUUUUUUUUUCUAGAAGUUUCUAAACAUGGAAGGUAAGGAGUAUUUUAUUUAUUUAUUUAUUUUAAUUCCACAACUCAUUAUCAAGGCAGAUAUGCUACAUUUUUUGGUCCAGGAUGCACUAUAGACACCAUGAGAAAGCAACUGCAAUUGCUGUUUGCUCCACAGUGGGUCUCUCUCUCACACAGACAAGCACAACACUGUCUGUCUCUCCCUACCAAACCUACAUCUGCUCUGCUGUACUUUCUCUGUCUUUUCUCCAUGCAUUUCAUGGUAAUCAUCAUUUCGAUACCAUGCUGAAUCUCAGAACUCAUACAGUAUAUGCAUGUGUUUAUUUUCACCCCAUAUUAUCUCUCUCCAUUAAAUCUCCAGUUUUGCUUGCCGGAGUUUCCAUCUGUUGGAGUCACUGAAGUCGAGUCAUCUGAGGUCACUGAUGGAGUCGUUCUUCACGCAGCGCUCAGUGAGAUCCAAUCCCAACAGAAGACUCCGAGCACGUGGCAGAGUCUCAGCUAGCUCGAUGGGUUUUGAUGAUUUUUUUCUCCUCUCUGAAAGAAGUGACAGGCCAAGAGUAUUGGAGAAGUGACGUGGAGGAGUUAUUCAGUGAGGCCAGUGGUAUUCCAUGUGUGGUUAUCUUCAUCUUAAACUUGCUACAAACUGCUGAAAAGACAAACUUGUAAUGCUGGUCGUUUCACUAGUUACAUGUACUUGUUUGCAUGUACUUAUUUUAUGACGUGUGUGUUCUUUUGUACAGAUUGUGAUGUUCGUGUAGGAUGGCAAACGUUCCACACCUUUAUGUUGCAGCAUUACAAACAUAUCAAAGACUCGAUGCAGGCCUGUAAAAAUGUACUCAUCUCACAGCCUUUAAUACACCACUGUACCUAUAACAAGCAAGAGCCAAUCGUGUGUGUCUUGGCUUUGAGUCAGUCUCCACCCAUGCUUUACAUCAGCAUCAGCACGAGAGGGCCUCUCAGUGUGUGGAACAGACAUCUGAACAACAUCAAGCCACUGGAAGUGAUUUUUAAUGAACAUUUAAUUCACAGAAUGAUAUGUUUACAGUAAUAUUUUGUGACCAUUCAUGAAUCUAAAACCUCUCCUCCAUUCCUGCAGAUGAGUGCUGUCCCCUUUAGUAAAAGGCAGUAUCAUAAGAGGUUCCAGGGCUGGAGCACCGAUGCUGUCUUUGGGGCAGCUGUGGCCUUUAUGGUUAGAGAGUUGGACUAAUAACCCAAAGGUUGCAGGUUCGAGUCUCGGUGCUGGCAGGAGUUGUAGCUACGAGUUGUAUGAUCCGUGUAGCUACAACUGGCCCUCAAUACCCAUGACUGAAGACUGAGUCACAUUGCUACUGCUCUGUGUUACUGGUAUGACACAAAGGUAGGCUGCUGACAUUUCAUGGCCCAGUGUUGAACUUGAAUUUAUUUUAAGCUUGCUAAUUCUCCAAGCUGGUUUGUUUUUGUUUGAGUUUACCGUGAGUCGUUUUUGAUCUGCGUCUAGGCUCCAGGAAAAAAGUGUGUGCGGAUGUGGGGCAAUGACAGGGGCUCUAUGAAUUUGUUGAGGUUUCUUCAUCCUUUCAAGGGGCCCUUUGAAAUGCUUUUUAGCAACCAGUUCAAAUCUUUAUGCCAGUGAGUGUGUGUAUUUUCAAGUAGGGAUGACUGACUAUUGUGCCAAGACAGCUUGGCCAUGUGUGAAAUAAAAUGGCCAUAUUUCUUUCUUGAACUCA
ensembl:lncRNA